AGAGUUUGAUCCUGGCUCAGGAUUAACGUUGGCGGUACGUCUAAUACAUGCAAGUCGAGCGGAGUACUUUGGUACUCAGCGGCGAACGGGUGAGUAACACGUAGGUAACCUGCCUUUAAGACGAGGAUAACAGUUGGAAACGACUGCUAAUACUGGAUUGGAAGCGAGGAAGGCAUCUUCCUAGCUUGAAAGGUCCUUUACGGGACUACUUAAAGAGGGGCCUGCGGCGCAUUAGUUAGUUGGUAAGGUAAGGGCUUACCAAGACAAUGAUGCGUAGCUGGACUGAGAGGUUGAACAGCCACACUGGGACUGAGAACGGCCCAGACUCCUACGGGAGGCAGCAGUAGAGAAUCUUCGGCAAUGGGGGGAACCCUGACCGAGUGAUACCGCGUGAAUGAAGAAAUACUUCGGUAUGUAAAGUUCUUUUAUAGAGGAUGAAUGAUGCGUGUAGGAAAUGACACGUAAGUGACAGUACUUUAGGAAUAAGCCCCGGCUAACUAUGUGCCAGCAGCCGCGGUAAUACAUAGGGGGCAAGCGUUAUCCGGAUUUAUUGGGCGUAAAGGGUGCGUAGGCGGCCGUUUAAGUUUGAGGUGUAAGUUCAAGGCUCAACCUUGUGAUGCUUCAAAAACUGGAUGGCUUGAGAGAGGUAGAGGCAAGUGGAAUUCCAUGUGUAGCGGUAAAAUGCGUAAAUAUAUGGAGGAACACCAGUGGCGAAGGCGGCUUGCUGGGCCUUAUCUGACGCUGAGGCACGAAAGCGUGGGGAGCAAACGGGAUUAGAUACCCUGGUAGUCCACGCCGUAAACAAUGAAUACUAAGUGUCGGGGAAACCCGGGGCCGCAGUUAACCCAUUAAAUACUCGCCCUGAAUAGAACGUGCGCCAAGAAAAAAACUCAAAGGAAUUGGGCGGGACCUCGCGCAAGCGGGGGAUCAUGUGGUGUAAUAUAGAGGAUACGCGAAGAACCUUACCAGGCCUUGACAUACCGAGCGAUGCUAUGGAGACAUAGCGGAGGUUAUUCUGGGAUACAGGUGGUGCAUGGUUGUCGUCAGCUCGUGUCGUGAGAUGUUGGGUUAAGUCCCGCGACGAGCGCAACUCUUAUCGCUAAUUGCCAUCAUUAAGUUGGGGACUUUAGCGAGACUGCCAGUGACAAACUGGAGGAAGGUGAGAAUGACGUCAAAUCAUCAUGCCCCUUAUGGCCUGGGCUACAAACGUGAUACAAUGGUUGGUACAAAGGGAGGCAACGCCGUGAGGCCAAGCGAACCCCAUAAAACCAAUCUCAGUUCGGAUUGAAGUCUGCAACUCGACUUCAUGAAGUCGGAAUCGCUAGUAAUCGUAGAUCAGAACGCUACGGUGAAUACGUUCUCGAGGUUUGCACUCACCGCCCGUCA
rnacentral:rRNA from 1 species